rnacentral:rRNA from 1 species
AGCUCCAAUAGCGUAUAUUAAAGUUGUUGCAGUUAAAAAGCUCGUAGUUGGAUUUCUGGUAGCAUGGAUCUGGCCCGCCUCUUAUGAGGUGAGCGUCGGACUUCAUCUGCCAUCCUCGCGGCUAACGUUCCUGCCAUUCAGUUGGUCGGGUUCGCGAACCGUGUCAUUUACUUUGAAAAAAUUAGAGUGUUUAAAGCAGGCUAUUGCUAUGAAUACAUUAGCAUGGAAUAAUAACUUAGGACUUCGGUUCUAUUUUGUUGGUUUUCUUGGAAUUGGAGUAAUGAUUGAUAGGGAUAGUUGGGGGUGCUAGUAUUGUGCGGCCAGAGGUGAAAUUCUUGGAUUCGCGCAAGACUAACUUAUGCGAAAGCAUUCACCAAGGAUGUCUUCUUUAAUCAAGAAC